rnacentral:rRNA from 1 species
CAGUCGCCACGGUAAUACGAAGGGGGCUAGCGUUGUUCGGAAUUACUGGGCGUAAAGCGCACGUAGGCGGACAUUUAAGUCAGGGGUGAAAUCCCGGGGCUCAACCCCGGAACUGCCUUUGAUACUGGGUGUCUAGAGUAUGGAAGAGGUGAGUGGAAUUCCGAGUGUAGAGGUGAAAUUCGUAGAUAUUCGGAGGAACACCAGUGGCGAAGGCGGCUCACUGGUCCAUUACUGACGCUGAGGUGCGAAAGCGUGGGGAGCAAACAGGAUUAGAGACCCCAGUAGUCCCUGUCUCUUAUAC